rnacentral:rRNA from 1 species
UACGUAGGGUGCAAGCGUUGUCCGGAAUUAUUGGGCGUAAAGAGCUCGUAGGCGGUUUGUCGCGUCUGCUGUGAAAACCCGAGGCUCAACCUCGGGCCUGCAGUGGGUACGGGCAGACUAGAGUGGCGGUAGGGGAGAUUGGAAUUCCUGGUGUAGCGGUGGAAUGCGCAGAUAUCAGGAGGAACACCAAGUGGCGAAGGCAGAUCUCUGGGCCGUAACUGACGCUGAGGAGCGAAAGCAUGGGGGAGCGAACAGG